UACCAGCUCUCCGAGUGGUAGGGAUGAUUAUUGGGCUUAAAGCGUCCGUAGCCGGCUUAGCAAGUUUCCUGUUAAAUUCAGCGACCUAAUCGUUGAGCCGCGGGAAAUACUACUAGGCUAGGAGGCGGGAGAGGUCGACGGUACUUCCGGGGUAGGGGUGAAAUCCUAUAAUCCCGGGAGGACCACCAGUGGCGAAGGCUGUCGACUAGAACGCGCUCGACGGUGAGGGACGAAAGCUGGGGGAGCGAACCGGAUUAGAUACCCGGGUAGUCCCAGCUGUAAACGAUGCGGGCUAGGUGUUGGGGUGGCUACGUGCCACUUCAGUGCCGCAGGGAAGCCAUUAAGCCCGCCGCCUGGGGAGUACGGCCGCAAGGCUGAAACUUAAAGGAAUUGGCGGGGGAGCACCACAAGGCGUGAAGCUUGCGGUUC
rnacentral:rRNA from 1 species